rnacentral:rRNA from 1 species
AUUGAACGCUGGCGGCAGGCCUAACACAUGCAAGUCGAGCGGCAGCGGGACCUUCGGGUUGCCGGCGAGCGGCGGACGGGUGAGUAAUGCCUAGGAAUCUGCCUGUUAGUGGGGGAUAACGCGGGGAAACUCGCGCUAAUACCGCAUACGUCCUACGGGAGAAAGCGGGGGCUCUUCGGACCUCGCGCUAACAGAUGAGCCUAGGUCGGAUUAGCUAGUUGGUGGGGUAAUGGCCCACCAAGGCGACGAUCCGUAACUGGUCUGAGAGGAUGAUCAGUCACACUGGAACUGAGACACGGUCCAGACUCCUACGGGAGGCAGCAGUGGGGAAUAUUGGACAAUGAGCGAAAGCCUGAUCCAGCCAUGCCGCGUGUGUGAAGAAGGUCUUCGGAUUGUAAAGCACUUUAAGUCGGGAGGAAGGGCUGUAGGCUAAUGCCUUGCAGUUUUGACGUUACCGACAGAAUAAGCACCGGCUAACUUCGUGCCAGCAGCCGCCGUAAUAC